rnacentral:rRNA from 1 species
GACAGAGGGUGCAAACGUUGUUCGGAAUUACUGGGCGUAAAGCGCGUGUAGGCGGCCCUGCAAGCCGGAUGUGAAAUCCCACGGCUCAACCGUGGAAGUGCAUUCGAAACUGCAGGGCUAGAGUCCUGGAGAGGAAGGUGGAAUGCUUGGUGUAGAGGUGAAAUUCGUAGAUAUCAAGCGGAACACCGGUGGCGAAGGCGGCCUUCUGGACAGUGACUGACGCUGAGACGGCGAAGGCGUGGGGAGCAAACAGG